rnacentral:rRNA from 1 species
GCCUGCCCUGUGACUAUAUGUUUAACGGCCGCGGUAUUCUGACCGUGCGAAGGUAGCGCAAUCACUUGUCUUUUAAAUGGAGACCUGUAUGAAUGGCAUCACGAGGGCUUAGCUGUCUCUCCCUCCCAGUCAAUGAAAUUGAUUUCCCCGUGCAGAAGCGGGGAUAAAGACAUAAGACGAGAAGACCCUAUGGGAGCUAAGACGCCAGAACAGCUCACGUUAAACAGCCCCCCACAAAGGGAAUAAACCGAGUGAAACCCUGCUCUAGUGUUUUUGGUUGGGGCGACCGCGGGGAAAAAUUUAACCCCCAUGUGGAACGGGAACACUAUUGUCCUCAAUCCCAGAGCACCCGCUCUAAUAAACAGAACUUCUGACCAACAAAGAUCCGGCAGGGCCGAUCAACGGACCGAGUUACCCUAGGGAUAACAGCGCAAUCCUCUUAAAGAGCCCAUAUCGACUAGAGGGUUUACGACCUCGAUGUUGGAUCAGGACAUCCUAAUGGUGCAGCCGCUAUUAAGGGUUCGUUUGUUCAACGAUUAAAGUCCUACAUGAUCU